rnacentral:rRNA from 2 species
AUUGAACGCUGGCGGUAUGCUUAACACAUGCAAGUCGAACGGAAACGAUACUAGCUUGCUAGUAGGCGUCGAGUGGCGGACGGGUGAGUAACGCGUAGGAAUCUGCCUGAUAGUGGGGGAUAGCCCGGAGAAAUUCGGAUUAAUACCGCAUAAUCUAUUCGUAGUAAAGUGGGGGACUUUCGAGCCUCACGCUAUCAGAUGAGCCUGCGUAAGAUUAGCUAGUUGGUAGGGUAAAAGCCUACCAAGGCGACGAUCUUUAGCUGGUCUGAGAGGAUGAUCAGCCACAUCGGGACUGAGACACGGCCCGAACUCCUACGGGAGGCAGCAGUGGGGAAUAUUGGACAAUGGGGGCAACCCUGAUCCAGCAAUACCGCGUGUGUGAAGAAGGCCUGAGGGUUGUAAAGCACUUUCAAUUGUGAAGAAAAGUUAGCGGUUAAUAACCGUUAGCCUUGACGUUAACUUUAGAAGAAGCACCGGCUAACUCCGUGCCAGCAGCCGCGGUAAUACGGAGGGUGCAAGCGUUAAUCGGAAUUACUGGGCGUAAAGCGUGCGUAGGCGGUUUAUUAAGUCAGAUGUGAAAGCCCCGGGCUUAACCUGGGAACUGCAUUUGAAACUGGUAAACUAGAGUAUGGUAGAGGAAAGUGGAAUUUCUGGUGUAGCGGUGAAAUGCGUAGAUAUCAGAAGGAACAUCAAUGGCGAAGGCAGCUUUCUGGACCAAUACUGACGCUGA